AGGUUAAGCUACAAAGAGCACACGGAGGAUGCCUAGGCGCCAGGAGCCGACGAAGGACGUGGCGAACAACGAUAAAGCCUCGGGGAGCUGUAAGCAAGCUUUGAUCCGGGGAUGUCCGAAUGGGGAAACCCGGCUGUCUUCAUCGACAGUCACUACUCACUGAAUUCAUAGGUGAGUGAGAGGCAGACCAGGGGAACUGAAACAUCUAAGUACCCUGAG
rnacentral:rRNA from 1 species